rnacentral:rRNA from 1 species
UGCAAGUCGAACGCUUUUUCUUUCACCGGAGCUUGCUCCACCGAAAGAAAAAGAGUGGCGAACGGGUGAGUAACACGUGGGUAACCUGCCCAUCAGAAGGGGAUAACACUUGGAAACAGGUGCUAAUACCGUAUAACAAGUAAAACCGCAUGGUUUUACUUUGAAAGGCGCUUUUGCGUCACUGAUGGAUGGACCCGCGGUGCAUUAGCUAGUUGGUGAGGUAACGGCUCACCAAGGCAACGAUGCAUAGCCGACCUGAGAGGGUGAUCGGCCACAUUGGGACUGAGACACGGCCCAAACUCCUACGGGAGGCAGCAGUAGGGAAUCUUCGGCAAUGGACGAAAGUCUGACCGAGCAACGCCGCGUGAGUGAAGAAGGUUUUCGGAUCGUAAAACUCUGUUGUUAGAGAAGAACAAGGAUGAGAGUAAAAUGUUCAUCCCUUGACGGUAUCUAACCAGAAAGCCACGGCUAACUACGUGCCAGCAGCCGCGGUAAUACGUAGGUGGCAAGCGUUGUCCGGAUUUAUUGGGCGUAAAGCGAGCGCAGGCGGUUUCUUAAGUCUGAUGUGAAAGCCCCCGGCUCAACCGGGGAGGGUCAUUGGAAACUGGGAAACUUGAGUGCAGAAGAGGAGAGUGGAAUUCCAUGUGUAGCGGUGAAAUGCGUAGAUAUAUGGAGGAACACCAGUGGCGAAGGCGGCUCUCUGGUCUGUAACUGACGCUGAGGCUCGAAAGCGUGGGGAGCAAACAGGAUUAGAUACCCUGGUAGUCCACGCCGUAAACGAUGAGUGCUAAGUGUUGGAGGGUUUCCGCCCUUCAGUGCUGCAGCUAACGCAUUAAGCACUCCGCCUGGGGAGUACGACCGCAAGGUUGAAACUCAAAGGAAUUGACGGGGGCCCGCACAAGCGGUGGAGCAUGUGGUUUAAUUCGAAGCAACGCGAAGAACCUUACCAGGUCUUGACAUCCUUUGACCACUCUAGAGAUAGAGCUUCCCCUUCGGGGGCAAAGUGACAGGUGGGUGCAUGGUUGUCGUCAGCUCGUGUCGUGAGAUGUUGGGUUAAGUCCCGCAACGAGCGCAACCCUU